rnacentral:tRNA from 2 species
GCCGGAUGAGUGGUGAAGCAGCGGACUCAUAAUCCGUUGGUCACGGGUUCAGGUCCUGUCCGCA